rnacentral:rRNA from 1 species
AUUGAACGCUGGCGGCAGGCCUAACACAUGCAAGUCGAACGAGUGGCGGACGGGUGAGUAAUGUCUGGGAAACUGCCCGAUGGAGGGGGAUAACUAAUGGAAACGGUAGCUAAUACCGCAUACCAUCGGAUGUGCCCAGAUGGGAUUAGCUAGUAGGUGGGGUAACGGCUCACCUAGGCGACGAUCCCUAGCUGGUCUGAGAGGAGGACCAGCCACACUGGACCUUAGACACGUUCCGGACUCCUACGUGAGGCAGGAGUGGGGAAGAUUGCACAAGGGGCGCAAGCCUGAUGCAGCCAUGCCGCGUGUAUGAAGAAGGCCGUCAGGUUGUAAAGUACUUUCAGCGGGGAGGCGUUACCCGCAGAAGAAGCACCGGCUAACUCCGUGCCAGGAGCCGCGGUAAUUC